rnacentral:misc_RNA from 1 species
CUCGGCCAGGAACGACUUGUCGCUGCGGGCGCCCGCGCUGCUGGCUGCGACGCACUUGACGGCCACCGUGGUGCCGUCGCUGGGCAGAACGGCGCGGUACACCCGGCCGAAUCCCCCGCUGCCGAGUACCUCCGCGUCGCUGAACCCGCGCGUCCCGAUGUAGAGCUCCGAGUAGCUGAAUAUCCUGGGCCCGCCGCCCGCGAGCUGCUUCCUGCCGGCGACGUCGUCGACCACGCCGGCGAUGUCCUCGAACGCCGCCGCCUUUUCCGAAGAGUCGUCGUGCCACCGGCCGGCGCCGCGGCAGCAGGG